rnacentral:rRNA from 1 species
UACGAAGGGGGCUAGCGUUGUUCGGAUUUACUGGGCGUAAAGCGCACGUAGGCGGAUCGUUAAGUCGGGGGUGAAAUCCUGGAGCUCAACUCCAGAACUGCCUUCGAUACUGGCGAUCUUGAGUCCGGAAGAGGUGAGUGGAACUCCUAAGUGUAGAGGUGGAAUUCGUAGAUAUUAGGAAGAACACCAGUGGCGAAGGCGGCUCACUGGGUCCGGUACUGACGCUGAGGUGCGAAAGCGUGGGGAGCAAACGG